AUGCCAUGUAAUGCUCAUGCUGGUCUGUGUUGAUGUCAUGUCAUUUUCUCUAUGUUCUGUGACAUUUGUCCUCCGUUUGCAACUUCCGGGUUCCUGCACCUGUACCUCUUCAUGUGUCUAGCAGAAAACGGAGAUCACUUCCAGCAUUGCAUGUAAUUCAGUCAAUUACACAUCCAUCAAGCAGAAAACGGAGAUCACUUCCAGCAUUGCAUGUAAUGCGAUUGAUUACACACCCAUCAAGGGUUGAAAUUACACGGUGUAUCUGCCAAAACGGAAUGUUCAAAAUGACCCACAGCUUUGUGUCUGACUGUCACAGACUCAGUAACACCUCUUUUCUAACUCCAGUCUGGACUCCAGUGUUGGUUUGCUCUAUUCUGAUCCACUCUGGCUUCCUGCUAUGUUCAGCUGCUCUCGGCCCACGCCGUCACCGCUGCUGACCCAGUUUUUCUUUGCUAUCCGGUGUCGACCAGAG